UACGUAGGGUGCAAGCGUUAAUCGGAAUUACUGGGCGUAAAGCGUGCGCAGGCGGUUGUGUAAGUCAGAUGUGAAAUCCCCGGGCUCAACCUGGGAACUGCAUUUGUGACUGCAUAGCUAGAGUACGGUAGAGGGGGAUGGAAUUCCGCGUGUAGCAGUGAAAUGCGUAGAUAUGCGGAGGAACACCGAUGGCGAAGGCAAUCCCCUGGACCUGUACUGACGCUCAUGCACGAAAGCGUGGGGAGCAAACAGG
rnacentral:rRNA from 1 species